rnacentral:rRNA from 1 species
UCCUACGGGAGGCAGCAGUGAGGAAUAUUGGUCAAUGGCCGGGAGGCUGAACCAGCCAAGUCGCGUGAGGGAAGACGGCCCUACGGGUUGUAAACCUCUUUUGUCAGGGAGCAAGGUGCAGGUCGGGACCUGCUGUGAGAGUACCUGAAGAAAAAGCAUCGGCUAACUCCGUGCCAGCAGCCGCGGUAAUACGGAGGAUGCGAGCGUUAUCCGGAUUUAUUGGGUUUAAAGGGUGCGCAGGCGGAGGCACAAGUCAGCGGUAAAAAUGCGGUGCUCAACGCCGUCGAGCCGUUGAAACUGGCGUU